GCCGGCCGCCGCCCGCCUGCCCGCCCUCCCCUCGGGACGGCCCCGCGGGGGGACCGCGCCGCUGCGGCAGCGCCGGUCGCGGACGGGGGAAAGGAGCGCGGAACACCCCGAAUGCAUUAUGGGAAAGAAACCUUUAGUGCUUUUCCUAAAUCAGAAAAGAAGUGGCAGAGGAGCCUCCAAACUGCUUGUAAAUACGUGAUUUUAACUUGCCAUCUGGAGUUUUCAGGUGAGCUGAUGUUUGAGAACUGCCUCUUCUCACGUCCGGCAAAAACAAACCACCACAAAAUUAAAGCUUGCUAAAUCAAAACAUUUCAGCGCUGCACAUGUGGCUCACAGUAAUAAAGCAUCCAUAGUGAUUAAUUACUUUGUCACAAAAUUAUGCUCAGGCCUGGAAAUUCUGAGACACCUGAGCAAUUUAAUGGAGUGUGACUGAAGUAGGUCCAUUUGGGCAUUUAUUAUGUAUUCGUAAGGUAGUUGAUACUUUUAAACAGCAGUAGAUAGUGGAUCAGAUCCCUUAAAUCUGCUGUUAAUUUCCAUCUGUUUAGGUUCCUUGAGAGCUCUGCUUAACUUUUUAUCUUCCUACUGCCUAAAGAUAUAGAAUAGUUUCACUUUAAGAAUGGUUUCCAUUUAGCUCAUAACCUGCACUGAGAUGGCCUGGGAAAAUGUUCGCAUAGCUGAUACUUUCUGAGUUCUAGAUAUUAACAUUAUUAAACUUUUUAAAUAAACAGUUGGGCUAUUUUUUAGGUUUGUCUGUCUGACUUCUCAUUCAUCUCUUCUGUUUAUGGAAUGAAUGUGGUUCUUGUGUGCUUCUCUUCCAGUCUAGGUCAUAUUUACAGUCAUAAAACAUAGUCCAUCAGAUUCAUUACAGAAACAAAAGUGUAUUUGGAACCUAAGAACAAGAACAGUUUCUUACAUCUUGAAGUCAGUAGUUUGCUCAGCUGAUGAGCUGAGGAAAUAGGUCAUUUUAGCUGUCUUGGGCAAAAAGCAGUGAUUACUAAUCGUUUCCUUUCUAGCAUAUUUUCUGUUACGCUACAUUUCUUACUCAUAUACCAAACACUGUCUGUUUGUUUAAUGGAAUAAUAAGACACAGAGAGGACAGCAGGAAAUAAUUAGACACAAUAUCUCUACUUUUGAUAGAAGAAUAAUCUAGCUCAGGAAUAUCUUGAAGCAGGCAGUCAAUGGAGAUGGAAGUCCAUAUGGAUCAUGUAUGAUCCUGUAAUGUAUAUUAUGUUGUGUACUAUAAUCAUCUGCAGAGGAUUGUAAUAUGAAUGAUGAAACAUAUCAUCAGAAAUUUUCCUUAUGCCUGGUAGCAACACGUGCCUUUAGCAAUAUGUGCCUUUAACUUCUGUUUACAUAACAGGGUCAAAGUCUGGAGUUGUCUCCGUAGCAGAUUGUAUGAGGACAGUGCACCUUAGCUUUACUCAUGCUGUCAGAAAUGCAAUGUGCAGUCCAGUGACUGAGAAGCAUUCAACAUAGAAGAAAUUCAGACUAGUGGUUAACAGAAUUUGUGAGCCCAUUGCUCCGUGGAGGACAGACAAAGGGACUGGCCAGACCCAAAGGUUGGUUUUUAGGAAUCCCCAUGACCCAGCUGAAGAACGAUGCAGCCCUUCUUCCCUCCGAUUCCCUACUGCAGAAUGGAAAGAAAUAUGCUCAGCCUCUUCUUUUCCUGCAGAGCCAAUGAAACACAUGUACACAACACCUUUUCUUCUUACGUGCAAACUAGGUCUAUACAACUGCGGUUACUGUGAGCUCAUUCUUCUUCCAAAAAGGCUUCAUCUCAUGGGGUUAGUAGAACUCACCUUGUCUUCUGGGCACCAUGUUCUUGCGCUGUGUGCCUGGCUGUAACUUCUAGGCUAUUGCAGUUCAUAACCAGAAAGAAUACAGAAAUGCUGUGGGAGAAGGCCAUAUAUAUAACAUUCUAUUACACAAAGAGAUAGAGCUGAAAGAAAAGAUCAAAAAGCAGCCAAAGGAGUUAGGGUUGCCAGGCAGACAAAUGUCCAAGUAAUCAAAUUCUAAAUUAACUGCAAGCUCAGUGUGAAGAACAAAAAUGAUCUUUCCCGUUGUCCAAUGUCCCCUCCCUAAGGCCAGUCUGCUCUGGCCUCAGCUGGCUUGUCAAGUUAGAUGAUAAAGACAAUGGCCCUGCAGGAAGCCCACGUCUUUCUUUUUUGGCUGACAUAAGUGCACUGGGAGCUCCAGGCAGAUGUUUCCCAGCUCAUGAUGCGGGAGAAUCUUCCUAUUAAUACUUAACAAGGCAAGAUAAAAAGAAUGGCAGUUUUCAGUGUCACAGGGAGACAUGGGUCAGUCAGAAGUGCCUAACUCAUUUUGCAGGUAAGGGUCACGAUGCUGUCCUGUGUCACCCGCAGCAGGAGACCAACACAGAAAGUGCCUUCUACCACAGGACAUCAAGUAACGUUUGUUCUGCACACCUUGUCUUCACAGUGGUGUCUGUUCCACAGCUCACUGAGGCUUGCAUCAUAGGGUAAUCCCAGCUGUAUGUAUGAUCUGUGAUCCUGGAGUUAGAAACCUUAUUAUUAUUUGGGGUUGUGUCCUGAGUCCAAAAUUGUAUCUUCUUCUGAGAUGACACCAGGCACAUGACUCUGCAGCAUCUCCAAAAUGAGGGAACUGGUAGGAGCAGCUGGUGUUAAGCUGGAGGCUGUCAGCAGGGACGUGCAGCAGUGCCCAGCUGCAGCACCACUAGGGCUACGCUGUGCCAUGUCUUAGAAAAUUAAUCCCAGUGUCUCCUUUCUCAGCACUGGAGUUGCAUAAAUGCUAAUGCAGUAUUGCAGGAUGCUGUCUGGACCAGGCUCUGCCUGAAUUAAAGAUUUCUGUCUUUUAAGUGCAUGUAGCGUGACAUCUGCAUUCCUUAGGGACUUCGGUGCUUAUGAACCUUGUACACUACAGAGAGGACUGCAUUGUCCUUACAUCAUGCCUGAGGCUCUGGCAUUGUUUUACUAUCAGAGCGAGGGAAGGAGGAGACAGAUCUCCUCUUUAGCUUUCUCAUAACCAAAGCAAACAUAUACAAACGUUGCUUUUUCUCUUCAUAGGGGAAUUUAAGCCUUUAAACAGAGGGCUUGUGUUGUUGUUGUUGUGUGCAGAGUUUACCUCCAGUAAUUUCUAUAGUUACUUAGGAGUGUGGAUGUGCUACAGGGAGAUGAAUGGGGCUUUAUGCUUAUCUGAAAUUUGAAUUAUAUUUUUAGCAGUUACAGACAUUUAACAGUUUAAAGACAUCAUACAGUUUAUUUAAUGGUUAUGAUUGAUGCAUUCAAAAGUCUUGAAAGAAAUGUAAAUAAUGAUUUGAAAAAUAUUCUUCUAAAACUUAUUUCUAGUUAAUAAAUUAAAAUGCAUUCGUGCAUUUAAUUAUCUUUGAUUCAUCAGGAAUUCAGAAUCAUUUUUAUGUAUAUUUGGGAUCUUUGGUCCAAGCAUUAGGUCUUUUUCAAGCUAUUUACUUUCCUCUAAAACAUCUACGUGUAACAUUGGUUGUUUUGCUAUAUAGUAAGCACAUAACCUUACCACUAUAGGAAGAGUUGCAAAGGUCAAUCUUUAUGACUAUGUAUCUUUAAAGUGGUAAUCCAUAUUAUACUUUAGCUGUCUAUGGAAAUUACAGGUAUAGUUGAACACCUUUAGCUAACACUUGUAGGAGAAGGUGUUGAAUUUCUGUUCCAAACUCUUCUGUUCCACAUUCUUUUAUGAUGUUGAGCUCCGUAAUGAGAUUAAUGGUUGAGAAUACAUUUAAAUGUUUCAGAAAUAUGCAUUUAUGAGCUUGUAAUAAAUCAUGCUCCCCAGCUUUCUGCAGGAGGAGGUCAUUUUAUUCUAAAUAAGCAUCAAGCCAAGUACAGGUUCUGUAUUACUGCAGCAAUCAUAAAAAUAGCCUCUGUGCAGCAUGUGUAGUAAAGCAAUGAAUAAUCUAAUAUAUUUGUGAAUAGAUAGCAAUGUGCAAAUGCAUAAGCAUUAUUUAUUGGUGUUUCUGUGACUAAAAUGCUAUAGUGUGUGCAUGCUUAAAGACAGUAUUCCCAAAGUACUCUGGGAGUUAAAAAUAACGGUAAGUUUUAUCUUUAAAAUAUACAGUGCUGCUCUUUGACAUCUUAGACAUUGCUACUGUCUGGUCAUCUGAUAUUUGAUAAAAUAUGCUUAUUUUACAGAAAUGCUAUUUUCUUCCUACUUUCCUUUUACCCUCCGGAAGUUUUAAAUAAGGAUUUGCUUUUCCUUUUUGGAAUGAGCACUUUGUGCUUUUAAGAUAUGGAUGUUGUUAAAGAGGAUGUACAAAAAUGUUAAAAUGCCAAGGUAGCUGAUUUAUGAAACUAUACAAAAACACUUAUCAGCUCUUCCAUUGCCUUUGUGCCAGACAUGAAGUGUUCUACAAACCUGGGGUUGUCCUCAUGGAACACAUGCUGCAGUAGCAGAAAUAGCAGUGUCAAUAAAGCCCCUUUUUUUACAGAUGAGCACAAUAAAGCGUAACUAAUGGCUUGUGCAGAUUUAGUAGGAGGACUUAUCUGUAACUGACGCUGUUCUGAUGUAUUCAGAUUUUUUUUGCUGACUCUAAAUGGAAAAAGAAAAAAGAAAAAAAAAGAAGAAUUUGCUCACAGACAGAGUGUCCACUCCAACCAAUUAGUUUAGAAGUAUUUAGAGAAAAGAACUUUGAAACCAAGUAUAGUCAGUUAUUUGUGUGUGGAAAACAUUCUUAUGCAAGGUCUCAGAAGUUUAUUUUUCAUUUAUGAAUCUUUUUCUAUUUGCAUCAUUUUCUUCUCCUACAAAGAAAUAAAGGAAACAACAACAACAAAAACCAGUUUCAUCUGAAAGCUGGAAGUAUUUCCUCCAAGGUCUGGAUAUUUCUGAUAGAAGAAUGCAAGCUGCUCUCACAGUCUAGUUAGUAUCUUAUAUUACUUUUCAGAAUGCUUACUACUGAAAAAUGGAUUGACUCUUGGCCAUCUCUCUUCUGUCCUUGC